rnacentral:rRNA from 1 species
UUUCGCAAUGCCCGAAAGGGUGACGAAGCGACGCCGCGUGUGGGAAGAAGGCCUUCGGGUUGUAAACCACUGUCGGGAGUUAAGAAAUGCAAGGAUAUGAAUAGUGCCUUUGCUUGACUAAGGCUCCGGAGGAAGCCACGGCUAACUCUGUGCCAGCAGCCGCGGUAAUACAGAGGCGGCAAGCGUUGUUCGGAAUUAUUGGGCGUAAAGAGCACGUAGGCGGCUAUGUAAGUUGGUUGUGAAAGCCUUCCGCUCAACGGGAGAACAGCAUCCGAUACUGCAUGGCUUGAGUGCGGGAGGGGAGAGUGGAACUUCUGGUGGAGCGGUGAAAUGCGUAGAUAUCAGAAGGAACGCCGGCGGCGAAAGCGGCUCUCUGGCCCAUAACUGACGCUGAGUGUGCGAAAGCUAGGGGAGCAAACGGGAUUAGAUACCCCGGUAGUCCUAGCCGUAAACGAUGGGCACUAAGUAGAGGGGUUUU